CCCGCCACUUGAAGAUAAGCCCGCAUCUGAUUAGUUAGUUGGUAGGGUAAUGGCCUACCAAGACCGCGAUCAGUAGCUGUUCUAAGAGGAAGAUCAGCCACAUUGGGACUGAGAUACGGCCCAGACUCCUACGGGAGGCAGCAGUGAGGAAUUUUGCGCAAUGGGGGAGACCCUGACGCAGCAACGCCGCGUGACCGAUUGAAGCUUUUAGGAGUGUAAAGGUCUGUCGUGAAGGAAGAAAAAGUCCGAGAAUAAUAAGUUCGGUAAUUGACGGUACUUCACAAGCAAGCUCCGGCUAACUUCGUGCCAGCAGCCGCGGUAAUACGAGGGGAGCAAGCGUUGUCCGAAAUAACUGGGCGUAAAGGGUACGUAGGCUUUUUUGUAUGUUUUCGGUGAAAUCCACAGGCUCAACUUGUGGCUUGCCGGAAAAACUGCAGAGAUUGAAUCCGGAAGGGGAAAGCGGAAUUCCUGGUGUAGCGGUGAAAUGCGUAGAUAUCAGGAGGAACACCAGUGGCGAAGGCGGCUUUCUGGUCCGGAAUUGACGCUGAUGUACUAAAGCGUGGGUAGCAAACAGGAUUAGAUACCCUGGUAGUCCACGCCCUAAACGAUGUAUACUUGAUGUCGGGAUGUUCGGUCGUCUCGGUGUCGUAGCUAACGUGUUAAGUAUACCGCCUGGGGACUACGGUCGCAAGACUGAAACUCAAAGGAAUUGACGGGGGCCCGCACCAGCGGUGGAACAUGUGGUUUAAUUCGAUGCAACGCGAAGAACCUUACCUGGGCUUGACAUAUGUAUGAAGUAUGUAAGAAAUUAUGUAUUCUGUCUGAUUUUUCAGACAGCAUAUAUACAGGUGAUGCAUGGCUGUCGUCAGCUCGUGUCGUGAGAUGUAGGGUUAAGUCCCUUAACGAGCGCAACCCUUACUUUUAGUUGCCAUCAGGUAAAGCUGGGGACUCUAGAAGGACUGCCGAGGUUAACUCGGAGGAAGGUGGGGAUGACGUCAAGUCAGUAUGUCCCUUAUGUCCAGGGCUACACACGUGUUACAAUGGCCGGUACAGAGUGCCGCGAAGCCGCGAGGUGAAGCAAAUCACUCAAAGCCGGUCCCAGUUCGGAUUGGAGUCUGCAAUUCGACUCCAUGAAGUUGGAAUCGCUAGUAAUCGCAGAACAGCACGCUGCGGUGAUACGUUCCCGGGCCUU
rnacentral:rRNA from 1 species